AUACUUUUCUCGGCCGUUUUCUAAGAUCAAGUGUAGUAUUUGUUCUUAUUAUCUUAAUAUUUGAUAGUGGUCUAAUGGGUCAAACGAUAUUAAAUUACUUUUUUGAAGGGAAAAAGUCAUCACAAGAGCUUGCUAAUGGGCUUCUCGUGUGUCGCUUAUGUGUUGCACUAUUGCAUCGGUUGGCGCACCCCAC
rfam:Medicago truncatula strain A17 chromosome 5, whole genome shotgun sequence.